rnacentral:rRNA from 1 species
AUUGAACGCUAGCGGGAUGCCUUACACAUGCAAGUCGAACGGAGUGGCGAACGGGUGAGGAAUGUAUCGGAACGUGCCCAGUAGUGGGGGAUAACUACGCGAAAGCGUAGCUAAAACCGCAUACUAUUGGAGCGGCCGAUAUUGGAUUAGCUAGUUGGUGGGGUAAAGGCUCACAAAGGCGACGAUCCGGAGCUGGUUUGAGAGGACGACCAGCCACACUGGGACUGAGACACGGCCCAGACUCCUACGUGAGGCAGCAGUGGGGAAUAUUGGACAAUGGGGGAAACCCUGAUCCAGCCAUCCCGCGUGAGCGAAGAAGGCCUUCGGGUUGUAAAGCACUUUUGGUAGGGAAGCGGUACCUACAGAAUAAGCACCGGCUAACUACGUGCCAGCAGCCGCGGUAAUUC